GGACACGGGGCUGCAAACACCAUACUGCCCCUUGCCUGUCUGUGGCUUGUGGGCUUUGGCUGAGAGUAGCCCCCACGAUUUGCUCCUGGAGCCUCGGCGCCAAGGUUUUCUGCCUCCAGCUGCUCUGGUUCCGCUGUGGAGCCCUAGGCAGGGCCGCGGGAAACAGGACUGGGAGGUGGUGUGAUUCAGUCCAGCAGGGUCUGUCUGCCUGCCUGUGGCCUGUGUCGCCUCGCGGGGUCUGCCCCUGUGACCGUUGCCCCCGGGGAUGCAGCAUGGAAGGAUUGGAACCGGAUGGCCUUGGC
rnacentral:lncRNA from 1 species